CACAGAACUAGCAGUUGGGGUCUUGGUGACCCCCAUCCUGCUGGGACCACCAAGCUGACAGCUGCCACCUGGAGCUGGACCCCAAGGGCCCCUGCAGCCAUCCACAUGCUCUUUGUGUGAGACACAGCGUGUCUUGUUAAUGCUCCUCGACUUCCCAGGGAAGCAGACUGGUGCUCCUGUGGGCUGGGGAGACUGUCACCAUAUCAACAC
rnacentral:lncRNA from 1 species